CACGUAGGCGGCCAUUCAAGUCGGAGGUGAAAGCCCGGGGCUCAACCCCGGAACUGCCUUUGAAACUAGAUGGCUUGAAUCUUGGAGAGGCGAGUGGAAUUCCGAGUGUAGAGGUGAAAUUCGUAGAUAUUCGGAAGAACACCAGAGGCGAAGGCGACUCGCUGGACAAGUAUUGACGCUGAGGUGCGAAAGCGUGGGGAGCAAACA
rnacentral:rRNA from 1 species